UGGGAGCUAGCUCAGCGGCACGAGCACCUGCUUGAUAAGCAUGAAGUUGUGAGUUCAAUUCUUAGUACCCAA
rnacentral:tRNA from 1 species